rnacentral:rRNA from 1 species
AACGAACGCUGGCGGCGUGCCUAACACAUGCAAGUCGAACGAGAAAGGGGCUUCGGCUCCGAGUAAAGUGGCGCACGGGUGAGUAACACGUGGGUAACCUGCCUCUAAGAUUGGGAUAACUCGUCGAAAGAUGAGCUAAUACCGGAUAAGACCACAGUUCCCGCGGGAACAGGGGUCAUAGGUAGCCUCUGCUUGCAAGCUAUCACUUAGAGAGGGGCCUGCGCACCAUUAGCUAGUUGGUAGGGUAACGGCCUACCAAGGCAAAGAUGGUUAGCUGGUCUGAAGGGAUGAUCAGCCACACUGGAACUGAGGCACGGUCCAGACUCCUACGGGAGGCAGCAGUGGGGAAUAUUGCGCAAUGGGCGAAAGCUUGACGCAGCAACGCCGCGUGAGUGAUGAAGGCCUUCGGGUCGUAAAGCUCUGUCGGGAGGAACGAAUGCUCCCAAGGUUAACAGCCUCGGGAGGUGACGGUACCUUCAAAGGAAGCACCGGCUAACUCUGUGCCAGCAGCCGCCGUAAUAC